GGAGUUUGGUCCGUGUCUCAGUACCAAUGUGGGGGACCUUCCUCUCAGAACCCCUACUGAUCGUUGCCUCGGUGGGCCGUUACCCCGCCAACAACCUAAUCAGACGCAUCCCCAUCCUAUACCGAUAAAUCUUUGAUUCAACUUAGAUGUCCGCAUUGAAUAACAUAGAGUAUUAAUCCGACUUUCGCCGGGCUAUCUUCUAGUAUAGGGAAGGUUGGAUACGCGUUACUCACCCGUGCGCCGGUCGCCAUCUAUCAAAGCAAGCUCCGAUAAUGAUGCCCCUCGACUUGCAUGUGUUAAGCCUGUAGCUAGCGUUCAUC
rnacentral:rRNA from 1 species